ensembl:lncRNA novel transcript
GAGAACUGGAGGCUUUAGGCCCAUCAGCCACAACUACAGACACAGCUGAGCCUGCUUCACCAUCUUCCGUAGUCCCAGGCUGUGCAAAGAGGAGGUAUAUCCAGCUAGUAUACUUUUUCCCUGGCCGAUUCAGUUGGCUAGAGCUCUUCAGGGACCACACUGCAAUUCUGGAUUUCCUGCCAGCCUUUAGGUGCUUCUGGGAAGAAGGAAGGAAAACUUGAAUGUGCUAAGAGAAAUCUGAACACAGCUUAAAUCAAAAGUCUAUAUGGAGUUUCAUUCUUGUUGCCCAGGCUGAAGUACAAUGGCGUGAUCUCGGCUCACUGCAAACUCUGCCUCCCAGAUUCAAGCAAUUCUCCUGCCUCAGCCUCCCAAGUAGCUGGGAUUACAGAGCAUCUGUGGAUGAGACAAGCACAGUGCCAGGCACUUGGAAAUGUUUGACAUCACCAAAAAAAAUUAGCCUUUCAAUACUCUCCAGCCUUUACUCUACUGUUGUAGAGAGAAUAAUGAUGCCAAAUCCAACAUAACUUG